UACAGAGGUCUCAAGCGUUGUUCGGAUUCAUUGGGCGGAAAGGGUGCGUAGGCGGCGCGGUAAGUCGGGUGUGAAAUCUCGGAGCUUAACUCCGAAACUGCAUUCGAUACUGCCGUGCUUGAGGACUGGAGAGGAGACUGGAAUUUACGGUGUAGCGGUGAAAUGCGUGGAUAUCGUAAGGAAGACCAGUGGCGAAGGCGGGUCUCUGGACAGUUCCUGACGCUGAGGCACGAAGGUCAGGGGAGCAAACGGG
rnacentral:rRNA from 1 species